UACGUAGGGGGCUAGCGUUGUCCGGAAUCAUUGGGCGUAAAGCGCGUGUAGGCGGCUCGAUAAGUCUGCUGUGAAAGUCCAGGGCUCAACCCUGGGAUGCCGGUGGAUACUGUCGAGCUCGAGUCCGGAAGAGGAGUGUGGAAUUCCUGGUGUAGCGGUGAAAUGCGCAGAUAUCAGGAGGAACACCGAUAGCGAAGGCAGCACUCUGGUACGUGACUGACGCUGAGACGCGAAAGCGUGGGGAGCAAACAGG
rnacentral:rRNA from 1 species